rnacentral:lncRNA from 1 species
GCAAUUUAGCGAUUCAGUAUGUAGAAAGCUAUUUGGAUCUCUCUGCUGCUCUUGUUCUUUAACAUGUGAAUUGACAUUCAGCCACUUGGAUCUCUCUGUUGCUCUUAAUUUCUCAUUGACAAAUGAAUUGGCAUUCAGCUUUUUGGAUUUCUCUGCUGGUAUUUCUUUUUAACACAUGAAUGGAUAUUUAGCAAUUCAGGUACGUACAUAUUUAAUUUCUUACAUUAUUCUUAUUACCUAUCUUUUAAUUUUUGUUUUUUUUGGUUUUCUUCGGAUUAUGUUAUUUCUUGCUGUAAUUGAGGUUUAAGACUCAUUUAUUCAACAGGGAUAACACAAUUACAUGACUAACAAAAGAAAGAAAACUCCUAAUAAUAUGAGAAAAUUACUCAAAAAAUAAAUCAAGCUUACAAGGAAGGAAAUAGCAUCCUAAUAUGGUAUUCGUUAACACAUGCAUGGAAUGCAUAAUAUCUAUUAGAUUACAAAAAUAGUCGAUCUUUUCAUGAUUUAUUUUAGUUUUACUUGAUAUUAUAUUUUUGUCCAAUUGUAAUUGCUAUUUAAUUACUUGUUCUACCAAACCUACAAGUCUUAAAACCCAAAUGUAAACAAUGAGAUAUUAUUUUUUAAAAAAUCGAAUUUUCAUGCAUAAAUAAACUAUGUAGGAUUCUAGAUUACAUUCAAUGCUUUUACAUUUGAGCAGUUAGCAUUAGUUUGAGUUCUAGAAAAUUUUUAGUUUAUAAGCACACAAUAAAAUAGUCACUGCUGGCUUAUUAAUUUGUUUUUUUUUGUAUCUCAAAUAUUAAUAUUUUGGAUUAUGAAUUUUUGUGGAUUUCAUCUUCUUAUUUAUGCACGACCAUAAAAAGAAAUGUAAUAUUUCUCAAAAGAAAAAAAUAAAUAAAUUGUAAUUUAUAGUUAAAAUGAAAAUCCUUUAAAUAUUUUCGUUCAUUUUGCUACUUGUUAUCUUCCUUAAUUUUUUACAAUCUUAGAUUAUUAUCCUCUAACAUUUAAUUUUAUUAAUUAGUCUCCCUACGUCAGGGUUAGGUCACUAUUCCGCCCAUUUUUUAUAAUUUAUAUCAAAAAUAUCUUUCAAAAUGACAGAAUUAAUUAAAAAAUUAUUUUUUUCUUAUAGAAAAAGUAAGGGCAAUUUAGUCAUGUUGCUCUCUCCAUUAACACCAUACUCUCCUAAAAAUAUUUCCGAAAUUUCAAGAGGGCGAAAUAUAAAUUUUCGAAAGUUAAGGAGGGAAAGUGAAAAAGUGGGUAUUUACAAGAAAACUUUCUGUAUUUUAGCCUGAUUUAAAAUAAUUAUGUCACGCCCCGGAUUGCACAUUCCCCGGGCACGCCGACAAAUCCGCCGUAUACAAAGAGAUUUUCCCUGUAUACGAAGCGAUAGCUGUACCUGUAAAUCAAACACUACUACGAACAGUAGUAGAGAGCUGCAAGAGAAAACAGAAGCUAAAUAGAACAGAGUUUCAUAUACAUAGUUCAGAUCCAAAAUACAGAGCUACUCGCACUGGCGAGUUAAGUCAACUAUGUACACAAACUCGAAACAAAACAUCUACCUGCAGUAGGGCACCUCUAGCUCAGCACGUCGGGUAGGGCUCUAACUCGCGACGCCCUUGCCUCGAUCCUGAUCCGCAGACGGUGCAGUAGCCGAAACCUGUGGCUCUGCAAAAACAUAAGUAACAACUAGGCGUGAGAACUACUGUAAAAACAAGUAAUCCUCAGUGGGUACCGCCCAAAACAACAUCGGUCACCCACUAAGUCUACAGAAGGGAGCAGGGAUAGAAGGAAAGCAGGAAGCAUACUCUACCGCUAUCAUCUACUACACUAUCAUGCCCUACACUAACCAACUGUAGGAAAUGUCAAAUCUGACCCAAUCCAAAUCGGGACUGUAAGCAUACCCGUCCCCGGGACUGUGAAUACACCCGUCCCUGCCCCGUUGCGACUAUCGGGCUCUAUCCACUCUAACUGGUCCGUGGAGAGCAAGUCCAACUGGCAUGAGCGACACCAACGCAAAAGCACAAGCCUGACUCCGGAGUGGCACUCGUGGGCGCUACCCAACCGAGUAUGCAGCGUAUCUCUGUCGAGCUCAAUCAGGCUCCAACUAGCCAAAGUCAAGUAAUCGACUCAAAAUGGUCUAACAACCAACAGGUAACGUGCCCUCGGCACAAUCUGACGCCAAAAAGGCGAUACGGGUCCACCGUCAACUCUGACCGCACCCAACAGUCCGAAACGACCUGAACAACCCUGUAAAAAUCCACUCGGCGAACCAGUACGAGUGUAAAUACAUUCUAAACUACCUGGAGUACUCGUCUCGAAGAAACUGCGACAGUACAAUUUUCUAACGGUUCCUAGAGCUAAAUCAGGUAGUUAAAUCUGGUGACAGGUCCAAAUCGCAGGUUUUCUCCUAAUUCAAUUUUCAAGUCCAACAUGUAUAAUCUAUUUACUUGAUAAAAUAUGCUCGAAAAUUCAGAUUUUUACAUUCUAACAAUAAUCCAUGAAUUUGAGCUAAACUAUUGUAGAAACCACGAUUUAUACAUGUCGACUAAUAACACUUAGGAGUAAAACCGAUGUAACCCACCUCGAGUGCAAUUUUCCUGGCAGCGAACUCAGCCUCGGCCACCCGCGAUGCUGCUGGAUUCCUCAGGGACCACCAAGACCGGUCGCCGAGCUAAAACGACCAUAACAUCACAAAUCAGCCUAAGUUCACAGCAGCUGAAAGAGACCAAGUUUCGACCAAGCUAACCUCGUCCAAAAAUUGCAAGUGAGGGCUCCGUGGAAUCCUCUCGCAGUCUAGAAUCCAAUGAACCACGUUUCGUCGCGAUCCGACGCUCCUACGCGGAGAACGAGCCGAAAUACUAACAGUCGACGGUAGAUUCUGCGAAAACAGCACUUAAGCUCAAAUCAACGAUACCCGAAGUACUCGGAGCAAUUGCGACCAAAUGCUCACCUCAACAGCAACAAUCCUCGGCGCGAUGUCCAGGACGGCGAAGACGCACCCUCGCCCGGCCUCCUCGCAAUGUCCCGACAACAAACGCUCGCUCGAACGACUCGCGGCGCGACGUCGGCGAAUCCCCGGCUCAACCGUGCUCCACCUCCACCAAGCUGAGAGAGAGAGAGAAAGAAGAAAGCACAAAAGCCUUCUCUCUCUUCCUCUGUUCGGUUUCCAACUGAUAUAGAGAGAGAGGGAAGGAAUCGUUACAAACGAGGUAGAAAAAUUACGGAUUUAGCCCUUACCAACUCCCUUGUACCGGUACACGGAUUGCUGUACCGGUACAAGGCCAAACCCGAGAGCAACUGAGUUCUGUCGCACGCUCUGUACCGGUAUAAAUGGACCCUUGUACCGGUACAGCAAGCGACUUUCCAUGAUGGUUGUACCGGUACAGCACCAACCUUGUACCGGUACAACAGAGUAAAAAUCCUGCAAUUUCGCAGAUUUCACACAGAAUGCUGCCCUCGCGUCGCACGGAGUCCGUUUUGCGUCUAUUUGACGCCAACGCGACUCGGACUUGUCCCGACACUCUCCAGAGCUGUCGACAAGCCUCCAUAGUCAAACACCAGGGAUCUCACAAAUUAUCUAUUUAAUAUAAUAUUAUUCUAAAAUAGUGUCCUCGUGAUAGUGUUGUGCCACUUGGCACAAUUUCAAAAGUGAGAAUUUACUGCAUUAAAAUAAUAUAAUUCAUAUCAAAUUUUGCUAAAACUCUACAUUGCGAAUUUACUUUGUCCAAUUUUCAUAUUAAGUUCUACUUAGAACUCUACAUCCUAGAUUUAUUCUCCAAAUUUAAACUCUAUGGUUUAUAUUAAAUCAAAGGGGGGGACUAGGAGGAAAUAGCAGUGGCCACGACCAUCCAAAGUUCAUAAAAUUGUCUUUAAAUUUAUUUUUAUUAUAAUGUUUUAAUUAAAGUAGUAAGUAAAAAAUUAUACUUUUAUUGCCAAACUGUGAUACAUCUAGGAUUUGGAAUAGCUCUGUAUAUAUAUAAGAUAUAAUAAGGUUAAGAUUUUUUAAUCUGGCUAUAGCAUUUUAGACGAUGGCUAAGCCGAAGAGAUGAAGAGUUUUGAGCAUUCUAAAGAUAGAGUAAUUUUAGGAUGCGUGGCUCCUGCGAAGUGGGAAGCGGAGCGUUACACAAACUUUCACCAAAUGACAAGCCAAGUUGUUGAUACAUACCAAACUUUUUCUUAAGACAACUAGAUUAUUUAUAAUUAAAAAGAUUUUAAAUUGUUAUGGAAAGAGCUUACAAUAGGAAAGAAAUUUGAGUUAAUUUCAUUUGUACCCUCACACAGUUUUGAAACAUCAUAAAUACCCUUCCAAUUUUUAAAAUUUCACAAAUGCCCCUCUAAAUACAAUAUUUCUUUCAUAAAUAUCCUCACUGUAAAUUUUUGCUAACUUCUGUCAACUUAGCAUUUUUUUUAUUUUACUUCAAAAUAUGAAAUUACCAUUUUACCCUUAAUUUGUUCACUAUUUGUUUAAAAAUCAAACCUUUUUCACUGUUAUUUUUUAAUAUUUAUACUAAAACUAUCAACUAUAGGCCAUUUAAGUAAAUCCCUUUAAGUUUUUAUUAAUUUUUCUUUUUUCAACAUAAACUUCUUAGCUUUUAAUUUUUUGUUUUUUAGAGUAAUACAUAUGAAUUAUAUCGACAUUGUGAUUUUAUUCUUAGACUCAUUUAAUUUUAUACACUAUGAAGUUACUAAAAUUAUUAAAUUUGGUUGAAUCAUUAAUGGAUUAGAUAAAAUCUCUAAUUUAAUAAUAAAAAAUCAUUCAACUUUAUGAAAAUAAAAUUUAAGAAGACUUUAAUUAAAAAUUUAAAUUCCGGGUGCUAUUUCACAAUAGGUUGUAAUUGAGGGGGGUCUCCAUAUAUUUAAAAAAUUUUGUGAGGGUGGUGAUUAGAAUAAAAUAGAGGGUAAAAUGGUAUUUUGAAGCUAACAUAAUGGAUUGCUAUUUUUGAAAUUUUUUCAUAUUUUUGGAGGACAAAUUUGAAAUUUAAAAAUUUUAAAGGGUAUUCAUGAAAUUAGAGCUACUUGGAAGGGUAUUGAAGAAAUUUUCCAAAAGAAAUUUGGUUAUGUAAUCCAUAUAUCUAUCUACAACUACAUCAAAUUGUCACGCCCCGGGGUCCCCUUUUUUUGUUUGAAACACAGCGGAAAAGCGUUUGAAUUUUUUUUUUUUUUUUUUGAAAACCUGACCCCAGAGUAUGCCAGAUCCGCCACAAAUACAGGGAAUCCACUGUUCACACGGACAGAGUCUCCCCUGUACUUGCACGGCGUCACACAAGUACAAAAGUACAAACAGUAUACAACCACAAUCAAAUGAAUAUACAGAUAGCUAUACAUUUAUACAUUCACCAUUCACACCGUAGUUUUACAUUCGAUGUUUAAACAGAAGUCCACGAAAAAUCUUUUGAAACUGUUUCGUGCGAGAAAACUUUUAUCUUUUAUAGAAGCUACCACGAGGGGUAGAAAACCUUUUAUUUUACCAAAUCCAGAAAUCCUUUUAAUACGUUCAUGAAAGUCCAUAUAUUCCAAUAUAAUAAAAAAUACUGAACCAUAUAAACUGACUAAGCUAUAACAACAGAAUAGUAGGAAUAAAACUAAACCGAUAACCUGGGUCGGAAGCUCUAUCGACCGCUACGAACGUACCUCACGUCUCGUCCCAAAACUCAACGUCUGCAGUACCUGAAAAAUAGUAGGGGAGGUAAGAACAUGUAAACAUGUCUCCCCUCCCAGUGGGUACCGCAAGCCGAAGAAGGCGGGGAGUACUCACCGGAUCAGGAAGAGAUAAACAACAGUAUGGGUAAGUAAAAUACAGUAGCAACGAUAAUGAACGAAUGAGAUAUAUAUAUGAAAACACAAGUACCGCUACUGUAAUGUACAACUGCAAGCAUACAAGGAUAUCAAAACUAUAGUAGCAAGACAACCGUAAAGAAAGAACUAGAAGUAUAUAUGCAACAACCGCUACUAUAGCUAUAUGCGUCAACCGGACGAGAAGUCCCAAAAGUACCCAAUCUAAACCGUCGUGUCGGUCUAAGGACCUCAGGCAAAAGCCACUAUCUGCUCACACCUGGCAUGUAACCUUAGCACAAAGAGAACACCGCUGGGCUCACGGGUCGGAUGUACGACCACUUUUCCGGAAAAGAACACCCUCCUGCGGGGGAUCAACCCGCCGGUGUACGUGAAAUGCACUCGAGCUGUGGCGAUCAAUGCAGAUAUGAUCAAUAGCCAACCGUCGGCAAUCAGCCGACAAUCACUGCCCCUCUGGGCAUAUCGACCGUGUAGGUCAUCAAGCAACAACGUGAACCGACCGAGAUAGGUCAAUGUACGGAAGGUAACGAACGACCAAACAGGUCACCGAUGCAAACAGGAGAACCGACCAACCAGGUCACAAGUAUAGUAUAUACGAAUGCCAUCUACUCUACCCCUAUACAGGAUACUACACAUAGAACAACCAGGCAGAGUAAAUAAGGAUAGUAUGUAGAUACUGCUCGAUGUCAACUAAAAGUACGAACGCAAGAACCGACCGAUAGGUCACAGGAGUGUAUUCGAUAUAGUUCAGAACUACCGUCAGCACCAGCCGACAAUCCUACCCCUCAGGGUACACCGACCUCAAAGGUCAUCGAACAACAGAAGGCAAGAAACAGACCAACCCAAUACAUAAUGCAACAACCGACCAAUCAGGUCAACAGAUAUAAGAUAACAGCACCGAUCAACUAGGUCACCGAAACGAAGUACGAGAACCGACCAAUCAGGUCACCGGAACAAAGUACGAGAAUCGACCAAUCAGGUCACCGGAACAAAGUACGAGAAUCGACCAAUCAGGUCACCGGAACAAAGUACGAGAACCGACCAAUCAGGUCACCGAUAUCACAUAUGGAUAAACUACUCUACUCCUACACAUGAUACUAAGCAUAGAAACAUAUGAGUAGAGUAUAAUAGAAACAACGGGGAUGCAAGCUCAAUAUAUAAUACGAAAAUAGCAACAGAAGAACAGGAAUAGAAGAAUAUCACCGAGCGUGCACCACUGUACCGACGUCGGAUCGAAGUACCCACCUGUACAAAUGUUGCGCCUGUCUCCUGACUGCAAAAGGACGUCAACCGGAACUAAGGAAGGUCCACCGGGUUAGUGUCUAACCCGCAGCUAAUAACCACUAGAUCCACAACCUACAAGCAAACCCAUGGAGAUCGGUUUCCCAAACCGAUCGCCGUAAUACGCCGUAAGUCCCGUAAUCGCACGGGAACUCCGCCGGGAGCCACGAACUGUCCCGGAACAUACCGACUCGAGCUACGAGUCACCUGCUGCCACUAAACAUACAUAAUCGUGCAUCAUGGCAGCGAACACAACUCCUCGUGUCAAAACAAUUAUCGUCGGAUAAUCAUUUCGAUUCGGGUUCCCGGAAGUGUCUAAUUCGACACCGGAAUCCACCGUCGCUCACCCGUCAUUUCCGAACUCUCGAAAUGACGCAAGUGACGAGCCAACAAGGCUCAGCGACUACGCAAAAGCUCACGAAGCACCGUCGGAAUAAUUCCGAACCGAACCCGCGUUCCGUCGGCGGAUUUCGCCGAAAAACGCACCGGAAAUGCAUUUUCGAUCUUCGCAAGGGUCUGGGGCCUUGGACAAUCAGUCCAGAGGUUAUCCUGAGCCCUAACUUGCUGCCAACAGCAGCCACGACGAAGCGAAACGCAAAAGAAUCCCUAACGGCACAUGAAAUCACAUUAUUUUAUGUGAUUUCAUGGCUCCAACGGGUCGUACCAGCAAACCAGGGAUUUACGGAGGGUACCAUCACACUUGUUGCUGGGUUUCAGCGUGCCAGAGGCCGUGCUCACCUUUCGGAGCACUGCCGGCAGCAACCACGCGCUCACGAGCGACGCAAACCUCAGCGAAACAGUGCGCACAGCGCGAAGAUCGCACAUUACUCACUAACCAGGGCACCGUUAACCUAAAUGGAGAUGAGCAUCGUGUUCAGCACGAGCCCAAGAUCACCGUGCUCACCUUCCGAGGUGCCAGGGAGUCAUCGGGUCACCGGAAAAGUGACCGGAACGCAAAACAGCAGUGCUGGAACCAUAAAUGGCUACUCACCGGAGCAGUGGGAGCUAGGGAUGGCCGCCGGCGAUCGGGCGGCGGGCGCUCCUGCCGAUGAUGGGAGCAUCAGGUCGGGGAGGUCCGGGGGAGGUGCUGGACGGCGGCAGGCAGCAGCCGGUGACGCGGCGGCGGAGAUCGGGCCCGCACACUUCCUCUCGGGUUGGAGCUUGCCGGCGGCGAGGCGGCGACAGGGGGAGGUCGGGGCGACGAUGAUCCGGUGCCGGAGACCAAGGGGGAGGUGGUGCUCACCUCAGAGGGCAACGGCGGCGCUCGGGAGCGGCGCGGCUCCCAGGUCGGCCCGCACAGGACCCGAGCGGCGGCGGGAGACCUUGGCGGCGGCCGGCGGCGUACGGGGACGGCCGGGGACGUGCGCGCCGAGUUGCUGGAGGUCGCCGGGGUCGACAGGGGGGCUUGGCCGCAGGGGUAGUGCGGUCCCAAGGCCCGCAACCUGAGCUCGGCCUGGCUCGGGUCUGGGCUGACCAGGGCUGGCCGCAGCUUCCUUCGGCGGCUCCGGCGACGUCGGGGGAUGGCCGGAGCUAGAGGAGAGGCACGCCUGAGGUGGAGGGAGGCCGGGGCUCACUUCCAGAGGCGGUGGAGACCCUCCCACAAGCCCUCGGUCUAGGUGGAUGAGGGAGGUGGCCGAGGAGAGGAGGAAGGCUGGCUGCAGGCGGUUUCCGGCGGCCGGGGCUGCUCGGCGGCGGCCGGAACGCGAGCACGGGCAGGGCAGGGAGGUGCUGGGAUGGCAGGGGCUGCUGGGGUCAGCUGGGGGUUUCAAGGGUUAGGGUUUGGUCCAAGAAAACCCUAGAUCCACCUAUAUAAAGGUGUGAAAACUCGCGGAAAACCCCCUCGAAGGAAUCUAUUUAAUCCCAGCUCUCAAACAGCAGUCGCACAAUGAGCGAUAGUCCCUCCGAGUUCGAAGACUCGCAAUUCGAUGCAUAAAAUAUAGGGCCUUUUCGCGAAUAAUCUGAUUACUCAAAUCAGCCCCUUCGCGGACUUUUCGCGAUUCCCGAAGAUCCGUCCGUCGGAUUUCCGAUCGGAUCACACCAGCGCGAUCAGCACGACAGAGGCAUCGAAUCUAGCAUUUCGAUUCACCCGAAAAGGUUCCCGAUUAGCGACAAAACCAUCCCUCCUAGGUUCCACCAAAAACCACAUAUAGCCAACUAUAUGUAAAAACCAUUAAACCCCUUUUUCUCGAAAUCCGUGCAUCCAAAUCCAAUUCCGUCAGUGCCAUUGGGUCCAGGAUAGUCGAGCGGUUGAAAACGAGCUAUUGGAAGGCUAUAUUCGGAGUCCGAUACGCGUCGAAAGUCCACUCUACUCCGCAGCCUCUCCGGAAAACCGGAGUUACUAUUCACUUAAGUCAAACUUCCGGGUCGCGUAACUUUUCCGUUUUAACUCGUUUUUGCCCGAAACUUGACGAGUGCUUAUGUAAUUAAAUUACACACAUAAACAUCAUCAACAGAAAGUUUAGUUGCACUGUCGAAAAUCUCAGUCCUUACACAAAUAUAUAUAAUAUAUAAUAAUAUCCAAUCUUAUUUAAAAAAGUUAUGCCUAUAAUUAAUUAGAUUUUAAAUCUUUUUAUAAUUUUUUUAUAAAAUAGAUUGUUUUUCUCAAAAUUAGUUUAUUAUUAAAAAAAUAAAAAUUUGAAAUAUGUGCGUGCAAUGUAUGGGUAGCAACCAAUUUAUAUAUUUUGAAAUAAAUUGAAACAAAAAUACAAAUCAAUGAAUCCACGACACUACAUCUUUAAUUUGCAUUAGAAUGAAUAUAUAAGUUCUUUUUUAAACUGGCAAGUAAAGAAUCAUAUAUAUAUGUAGCCAUAGUUAUUACUUUCGUCAAGCGGCCAACUAAAUUGUUGACAUAUGGUACAUUACUUGUGAUAGUGACAUUAUUUAUAAUAAAAAAGGUUUAAAGUAUUGUAGAAAGAGUUAAAAAUAGAAAAGAAAUUUGGAUGCGCAAUUAGUAUAUUCAUUUAUAGCUUUAUUUUUAUUAUUUUUUUAAAAUUGAUUUCUUUCCAAAGUUAUAAGCAAAGAAUCAUACUUUUUUUCUCAUAACUACUUAUAAAUAUUUUGAAAGACAUUUGAAAUCCCUCCCUUGCUACUCUUCCUCCUUAACUAUAAAUAGGGAUUUAACGAUUCAGUACGUUGAAAGUCAUUUAGAUUUCUUCGCUGCUCUUUCUGUUUAACAUAUGAAUCGGCAAUUAACUUUUUGGAUCUCUGUUGCUCUUUCUCCUUAACACAUGAAUGGGAAUUUAGCAAUUCAAGUACGUAUAUAUUUAAUUUAUUACAUUAUUAUUAUUACUUAUCUUUUGAUUUUUAUUUUUAUUUUUCCUCAAAUUUUGUUAUUUCGUACUGUUAUUGAUGUAAUUUAAGACACUCAUUUAUUCAAUAGGAAUUAAGCCACAUAAAUAACACAAUUACACACCGAAUAAAGAAAGAAAAUCUUAAUAAUAUAAGGAAUAUAAAUCAAAUAUUAAAUCGAGCUUAGAAGGAAUGAAAUAACAUUCUAAUAUGGUAUAUGUUAACAUAUGGAAUGCAUAAUAUCUAUUAGAAUUCGAAAAGAGCGGAUCUUUUCUUGCUUUAUUUUAGUUUCACUUGACAUAUUCAUUUUUGCCUAAUUGUCAUUUUUAUUUGCUUGUUCUAUUUAAUUUCUUUUUCGUGGCACUAUAUUAAUAUUGUGUGGCUAUUAAUUAAUGGGAAUUUCCAUAUAUAGAUUUCAUCUCCCUGGUUAUGCACAAUUCUAAAAUACAUGGCAGUUUAAAGAUAAUAAUCUAUCUAACUUAUAUUAUUCUAAAGUAGUUUAACGCAUUUUUUACUUUGUCAUAUAUCCUAUGAUUUUUUAAAAAAUUUUCAAUUUGCCAGACUAUCUGAUAUAGAAUUUUUAGAUGAAAAAAAAUUAAACCAUAAACGAGCAAAAUGCAACUUUUUGAACCGCAGAAGGCCAAAGUAAAAUUUUGUUAUACCACAAGAGGGCAAUUUGAAUUUCACCGUUAUUAAAAUUCAAAGUUUCUUGUUAUAACACAUACUAUUUAUUAUUCAUUUCUUAUAUCAUUUACUGCCUUAUUCAAGUGAAUAUUAAUUUCUAUUUUUCCUCUGUAAAUCUGUAAUGAAAUAUAGAAUAAUACUCUUUUAGAAAAUAAUUUUUAUUUAGUUAAUUACUAUCUUGCCACAAAAGAGUCAACAAAGAAAUUACUGAUUUUAGCUGUAGAAAGUUUGAGAAAACAUAAUUUAAUACACAACCAGUUUAAAACUUGCAGAUUUUGGGUUCAUUAGUAUUGGGUCUUUACUCUUCAGUUUGCGGUUUCUUUAGCACAGUAUUACAAUUUGUCAAAUUAUUUCACGUUAUUUAAUUAGAAAAUGAGUAUUUAAAUGUGACAUCCCAAUAGUCCCACAUCGGAUGGGAAAGGGAUUGUCAAUAACUGGGCUUAAGCAUUUUGGGUCCGUGGUUUGGCCCAACGAGCUAUUAUUGCUAGUGGGCUGGGUCGUUACAUUAAAACUUUUCAAGUCACAUAUACAUGGAAUGCCUAAUGCUGAACAAAUUAUUGUAUUAAUUGUUACGCAUAAUUUCAAUCCCGGCGUUUUGCUUCUGGAUUAAAUUCAUACUAGUUAAGACUCAAUGGCUCAGAUUUAUUAUUCUUUCCAAAAAUUAGAUAUUCUAAAUUUAAAAUUUAGAUAUAUUCUAUGCAUUCUCCUAAAACUUUGUUGUCCGAAUUUAUUCUAAUCUUAAAACAUAGAAAAACCUUCAAUUUGUCCGCAUGUAGUUUUGUACAUUUUUUAUUUUGUCACAUUGUGGCUCGCAUAGAUACAUUUAUUAACUACCCCGUAUUUUUUAUUUUUGUUACAUCGUAUGGACCCGUUGUUAAUUAAACAAGAUAUUGAAAAUCAGACGAUGAUGCUUCCUUGUUUAACUAAGGCAAAAAUAAAAUCAUGGAUGCAACUUUUUAAAUUACAGGAUGACAAAUUAAAAAUAUCUUAAAUUGUAGAAUAAUUAAAUAUAGAUUUAUUUUUUGAACAAUUAAUGGUGUGGUAAAAAAAAUAAAAAUGCACUAAUUAAACCACGUAGGGAGGGGUACGGUGAAUUGAAAAGUUUACUCCAAAUCGAAAGGGUUAUAAAUUAAUGUGGCUGUGAUCUGACGGUGUUAUUUGCUGCUCUAUUAUAUAUCCAGUCCUGUCGAUUUCCAUGCGGAGCAGCUGAAGCAGGGAGGAUUGAUUAUGUAUGAAGAAGGCCAAAUUAAAUUAACUAACUCGGUGAAUGAAUGAACGCUCUCACGUACCACUGAUGCAUGGAUUGACGCUCGAUUAAUUAAUUAAAACCUAC